AACGGAGGCGCUCAAAGGUUCCCUCAGAAUGGUUGGAAAUCAUUCAUAGAGUGUAAAGGCAUAAGGGAGCUUGACUGCGAGACCUACAAGUCGAGCAGGGUCGAAAGACGGACUUAGUGAUCCGGUGGUUCCGCAUGGAAGGGCCAUCGCUCAACGGAUAAAAGCUACCCCGGGGAUAACAGGCUUAUCUCCCCCAAGAGUUCACAUCGACGGGGAGGUUUGGCACCUCGAUGUCGGCUCAUCGCAUCCUGGGGCUGUAGUCGGUCCCAAGGGUUGGGCUGUUCGCCCAUUAAAGCGGUACGCGAGCUGGGUUCAGAACGUCGUGAGACAGUUCGGUCCCUAUCCGUCGUGGGCGUAGGAAAUUUGAGAGGAGCUGUCCUUAGUACGAGAGGACUGGGAUGGACAUACCUCUGGUGUACCAGUUGUCGUGCCAACGGCAUAGCUGGGUAGCUAUGUGUGGACGGGAUAAGUGCUGAAAGCAUCUAAGCAUGAAGCCCCCCUCAAGAUGAGAUUUCCCAACUUCGGUUAUAAGAUCCCUCAAAGAUGAUGAGGUUAAUAGGUUCGAGGUGGAAGCAUGGUGACAUGUGGAGCUGACGAAUACUAAUCGAUCGAAGACUUAAUCAAAA
rnacentral:rRNA from 1 species